rnacentral:rRNA from 1 species
GACGAACGCUGGCGGCGUGCUUAACACAUGCAAGUCGAACGGAAAGGCCCUGCUUUUGUGGGGUGCUCGAGUGGCGAACGGGUGAGUAACACGUGAGUAACCUGCCCUUGACUUUGGGAUAACUUCAGGAAACUGGGGCUAAUACCGGAUAGGAGCUCCUGCUGCAUGGUGGGGGUUGGAAAGUUUCGGCGGUUGGGGAUGGACUCGCGGCUUAUCAGCUUGUUGGUGGGGUAGUGGCUUACCAAGGCUUUGACGGGUAGCCGGCCUGAGAGGGUGACCGGCCACAUUGGGACUGAGAUACGGCCCAGACUCCUACGGGAGGCAGCAGUGGGGAAUAUUGCACAAUGGGCGGAAGCCUGAUGCAGCAACGUCGCGUGCGGGAUGACGGCCUUCGGGUUGUAAACCACUUUCGCCUGUGACGAAGCGUGAGUGACGGUAAUGGGUAAAGAAGCACCGGCUAACUACGUG